rnacentral:misc_RNA from 1 species
GAAAUGCGAUAAGUAAUGUGAAUUGCAGAAUUCAGUGAAUCAUCGAAUCUUUGAACGCACCUUGCGCUCCUUGGUAUUCCUUGGAGCAUGCCUGUUUGAGUAUCAUGAAAUCUUCAAAGUAAAUCUUUUGUUAACUCAAUUGGUUUCUACUUUGGUAUUGGAGGUCUUUGCAGCUUCACACCUGCUCCUCUUUGUUCAUUAGCUGGAUCUCAGUGUUAUGCUUGGUUCCACUCGGCGUGAUAAGUUAUCUAUCGCUGAGGACACUGUAAAAGGUGGCCAAGGUAAAUGCAGAUGAACCGCUUCUAAUAGUCCACUGACUUGGACAAUACUUUUAUGAUCUGAUCUCAAAUCAGGUAGGACUACCCGCUGAACUUAAGC